rnacentral:rRNA from 1 species
AUUGAACGCUGGCGGCAUGCCUUACACAUGCAAGUCGAACGGUAACAGGUCUUCGGAUGCUGACGAGUGGCGAACGGGUGAGUAAUACAUCGGAACGUGCCUAGUAGUGGGGGAUAACUAUUCGAAAGAGUGGCUAAUACCGCAUGAGAUCUACGGAUGAAAGCAGGGGAUCGCAAGACCUUGUGCUACUAGAGCGGCCGAUGGCAGAGUAGGUAGUUGGUGGGAUAAAAGCUUACCAAGGCGACGAUCUGUAGCUGGGCUGAGAGGACGAUCAGCCACACUGGGCCUGAGACACGGCCCAGACUCCUACGGGAGGCAGCAGUGGGGAAUUUUGGACAAUGGGCGCAAGCCUGAUCCAGCAAUGCCGCGUGCAGGAUGAAGGCCUUCGGGUUGUAAACUGCUUUUGUACGGAACGAAAAGCCCUGGGUUAAUACCCUGGGGUCAUGACGGUACCGUAAGAAUAAGCACCGGCUAACUACGUGCCAGCAGCCGCAGUAAUAC